GAUGAAGAACUAGCGAAAUGCGAUAAGUAAUGUGAAUUGCAGAAUUCAGUGAAUCAUCGAAUCUUUGAACGCACAUUGCGCCCGCUAGUAUUCUGGCGGGCAUGCCUGUCCGAGCGUCAUUUCAACCCUCAAGCCCCCGGGCUUGGUGUUGGGGAUCGGCGAGCCUCCGCGCCCGCCGUCCCCUAAAUCUAGUGGCGGUCUCGCUGUAGCUUCCUCUGCGUAGUAGCACACCUCGCACUGGGAAACAGCGCGGCCACGCCGUUAAACCCCCAACUUCUGAACGUUUGACCUCGGAUCAGGUAGGAAUACCCGCUGAACUUAAGCAUAUCAAUAAGCGGAGGA
rnacentral:misc_RNA from 1 species